rnacentral:lncRNA from 1 species
UAGCCGGCUGCCACUCAAGGAGGUCGUCCAUUUCCGAGCUGGGAAACUGGCAUGCACCGGACGCUUUCCUGGGGCGUGGUACUGAAUGAAUUCCUUUUGCUGUAUACUUGUUUGAUUUUUGCUAUUUAUAUGGAAACAACUGGGGCCUGGUUAUGUACAUGAGAAACGGGAUAGGGUGUUUCUGCUCCGUUGGGUGGUUGCUGAAUAAUAAUAUGUCCAAGGUGUUUGUUUCAACUCAGAAGGUCCUUCUGAGAAGGAGGAAUUCAUGCUACUACUGUUCAUCUAUCAAGCACCCUACAUACUCCCUCCGAUCCAUAUUACUUUUGCGGGAAUAUUAUCUUUUCUGCAAACACAACCUACUUGCCGUUUUUCUUUACAAUACGUUUCUGUAUUAAGUACAUUUCUGCGUGGCACUGUAUUCUUGUCUGCCCUCGUUGAACGCAUUCAAAGUUUGACCUGACGACGUUACGUUACUGUUUCCUGGGGUGCGCCUGGUCCUCUGCUGCAGCAGCAGCAGCACAGUGAAAACGAGCCAAUGGGGGUCCUCUACAGCAGCCAAGGCGAGAGAAAUCUUGUGCUGUCCGUGGCACGUAUCGUGCAAUCAAGGUCAAGGCUUGCCUGCAUCUGCACUGAAAGUGUACUUGUGUACAAGCUGCUACACACUCGCAUCGCUAUAUUAAGGCCAACUUCAAAGCACGAUCCAAACGGACGUCUGUUUUGCCUGGAUUCGAUUCGUUUGGGUAGGGCAAUGAGGUCGUGUCCGGGCCUUUCCAGAGAUCCGGUGGCCGUGCGUCCAAGACGCGGAUGCAUGCUUUAGCCGCAUCCUGUCCGCCACGGCCAAUAUGUCCAUAUAUUCAUAUUUCAAUGUUUAAAACAAGUUUACACGUUCAAAUAUUAAUUGUCUUAAAUAAAAAUAGUUUUACAGCCCAAUUAAAACUGUCUCGAAUAAAAUAAUUUUACAACCAAAUUGAAAUUGUCUUGAAUAAACAUGAUGAAACAAUACAAUCUAUUGGUUGCCAAUGUGAUUCUGCAUGUGUUCAAUCAAGUCAUUUUGAAGCUCCAAAUGAGUGUGCCAAUCACACAUUUCACGAUGGAAUUGGAUAAACUGUUCAAACGUGGCCGGUUCUUGGUGCAGGGGCUCAACAUUUUCACCUUGCAAAUCAAAUCCUUGGUCGAAGAUGCUGUUAUCACGCGCGUCCUCGAUGAUCAUAUUGUGCAUGAUCACACAAGCAGUCAUCACCUCCCAAAGCUUCCCUUCAUCCCAUAUCAGUGUAGGGUUUCGAACGAUACCUCAUCGGGAUUGAAGCACACCAAAAGCAUGUUCCACAUCCUUUCUAGCACUCUUGCAUUUGGGCAAAUCUUUGUCUCUUCUCACAUUGGGGGUUUGAGAUUGUCUUCACAAAAGUUGACCACUGAGAUUAUAUACCAUCAUCUAGGUAGUAUCCAUUGUUGUGGUGGUGGCCAUUGAUCUCAAAGUUGACAGGUGGGGAGUGACUUUCUGCAAGCCUUGCGAAGACUGGAGAACGCUGCAGCACGUUGAUAUCAUUAUGAGAACAUGCCAUGCCGAAGAAAGAAUGUCAUAUCCAAAGAUCUUGCGAAGCCACCGCUUCUAAUAUGAUAGUGCAUGUUUUAACAUGCUCCUUGUAUUGGCCCUGCCAAGCAAAUGGACAGUUCUUCCACUCCCAGUGCAUACAAUUUAUGCUGCCAUGCAUGCCUGGAAAGCUUCUAUCGGCAUUGAUCGCCAACAGCCUUUCUGUAUCAACGACAUUUGGCUGCCUCAAGUACUUAGGGCCAAACACUGCCACCACGGCAUUACAGAAGUUGUACAUUGACAACAGACAUGUGGACUCACUCAUGCGCACGUACUCAUCCACCAGAUCGCCUGGAAUUCCAUAUGCAAGCAUGCGGAUGGCCGCAGUGUAUUUCUGAUAAGAGGAGAAUCCAAGCUUGCCAAGGGCAUCCGUUUUGCACUCGAAAAAUGGGUCAUGAGCAACCACUCCCUCUUGGAUACGAUUGAACACAUGCCUUUCCAUACGAAAAUAACGACAUAAUUUCUCCAGUUUGAAGAGCGGUAUAUUCUCAAAGUAACUGGCAUAGAGCAUGGCGUGGCCUCUCUCUCUGUUGCGCUUCAGGUUGGGAGCACGGCCAGGGACUGACCCCCCUGUACCGAGGCCGUUGCCUUUCUAUGUGGUCGUGAACAACCAGUACAACCAUCACAAGAUCUUCGUCAUCCGAGGACGAAUCAUCCGAUGAAUAAAUGAAGUGGUUGAAGAAAAAAUCAUCUCCACUAUCCAUACCUUUGUGGGCAAAGUAUCAAACACCUUGCGGUUGUGGUGGCAAAGAGGCCGCGAAGAUCACCUCGAUGCAGCAGGGGCUUUGGCGGCCGACUACAGGUCGCUCUGGAGCACCCGACGGAAGCUGCCGUGGUCCAUAGGCGUCACCGGCGGUCGUAUUCCCUCUGGCACCGUAUACGAUGGCGAGAGCCAAAACUCCUCCAAACGACGGCCAAAACUCGUACGAAAGUGCGGGCGUGGUGACGGUCAUGGCGAGACGUGGUUUGGUAUGGACGUCUGGGGGUGAGCAGUGAGGACGCGGCCGAAAAAUAGUGGCGGUGCCGGCGGCGGGGUGGGGCAGGAGGGCGGGUGAAGGCGUUGGAGGUGAAUGGAGCACUAGUGUCCCCGACAGGUGGGCCACGGGGAGGACAAGGGCGUGCGUCCCGCCCGUCCGUGCGAUGCCCGUUUUACCCCAAACGCGACGCAUGUUUAGAUCGGAAACGGACGAAAACCGGACAUUUGUUCGUUUGGGGCCGCGUGUUGGGCUGAUCUAUUUGUCAGUUCUACCUCAAACAGACUAUGACUGGAGUUGGCCUAAGUACUCCCACACAAAGUCCCAUUCUGCUGUGCUGGCGGAUGAUGUAGAGGAUCCGAGAUUCCGAUCGAUGUUCAGAUGAAGCACACCGCACACGUGGUGGUGGUGGUGGUGGUGGCGAAUGAUUCAAACCUGUGUGCGAGCAUAGCAGAGGAGCACGGGAUUGUUGAUUUGAACGGACGGUGAGGUGGACGAUCACAUCACCCGCGUGUAGUGAGUGCAUCAGUCUGCGCCAAGUAAAUGUUCCACCUACCUGGCUAGCUAGCGCACCAUGGCCCCGCUCCUUCUCUGCCCCGCCCGCAGCUCAGCUCAGCUCAAACGGUGUGCUCCAAGACCCAGACAGUCAGGUGCCAUUCAUACCGGAACUGUGCACUUCUUAGUGGUACUGGUAUUUGCACACAAAUUAUUGUGUCAUAAUAUUGCGAGAGCGAUUUUUAUCCAGCCAGGACAUUGCCCAGUUUUAAGCCAUGCCAUAUUCUUUUAGGGGGCUGCAGCCCACGCGGCGCAUCAUCUCUCAAUAGAAAAACACCAACAACCAUGGCUAGCAAUCCUGUCCAUGCACAGCACGUUUGGCCAAAAUGAUUAUGCUGAGACGCAUGAGUCGGAGACUUGGAUUAGUAUAUUUCGCCGUUCCGAUCGAGCACCCCAAAGAAGAAGAAAGAAAAAAAGAACUGCCGGCCAGUCUCCAGUCUUCCUCCAAAGUCCAAACCGUGAGGCCGGCCGUGCGUGCAUGAUCUCCAGUCUCUAGCUGCCAUGCAUAAUGCAUUGCAGUGGCACUGGCAGCUGCUCUGCUCCACCGCCGACCCACGCACCCCCGGCCGGCCUCCUCAGGAAGGAAAGCAUCGUAAAGGCCAGACGCCAGCAAAAGCGGGUACGCGAGGGAGGCGUCAACGGAGUGCUAAAGCGGAAAAAGAAAAAGGAAAUCUACCACCAACGCAGUGGGCAGUAAUGGUGGUGCUCGUACGUGAACGUACCAAAGUGAGAAACGCACGGCACCAUAGACCAGAGAACUCGAGAGUAGAGCGCCCACUGAUCGUAUGUCCACUAUGCAGUCAACGCAGUGCUUUGGGCAGUACGUACCACUGUACUACGUAGUACUAGUACACGUGGAGUGCAAGUACUAAUGCCGUGCUGCUCUUACUCCAAUAGUUGCCGUCAUGGGAUGGGAUAAGGGCAUCUGCAAUGUUCACCCGUAAAUUUUCUUCCGCAUUCGUUCACGAAACAGGAUCACUAAUCUUACGUCACGUCGUCACAUCUACGAUGGUUCACCCGAUCUCACAUAUAUUUCUCUCAUCUGCUCGUCGGAUCAAAUCCUAGUCACUUCACUCCACUCCUUUCUGCUACCCAAACUCACCUUCGAGGAUUUCCAACAUGGCGAGCAGCGGACGAGUCCUUCAUCUUCAGAUUCGUUGACUCCGAGCUCAUCCCACGCGGACCUGAGGAGGAGAUGGCCGUCCGGCUUGUGCUCCGUGGCUCUCGGGAGGAGGCUUGUGCACGACAGCGCUCGGACUCCUUCCGUCGGGAAUCCAUUGCGUCUGCCCAAAUGACGCAUGGAUCUGAUGCUAAGUGUGUCGUCGCUGCCUCACCAGAGGCGGUGUGGUCCGUCUGGCGUCCGAACGCGGUAGCGAACAUGCAACCCCUCGUUGGUGCCAGGGACGGAGCUGCUUGGUAAGCAUGGGGUCAAUUGACCCCAAUGAAAUUAGGCAAUCCUUUAUUAGGUUAGUACUAAUGACUAUUCAGUUAUGAAAGAUGACCCCACUGUCAUAGACAUGAUCCCAAUAGAUUUUUUUCUAGCUUCGUCCUUGGUUGGUGCACCAAGCAGCGGGAUGCACCAUGGACGUCGUUCGACGAAAACAUGGACAACGUACCCGCUGUGUGAGACAACGGGCAUGGGAGGCGGCAGCAGCCCUCGCGGCGGUGGACGUCGGCGAGCCAGAGUCGCAUUCUCCGACACCUCGUAUUGUGCGCAGUCCGGGCGUCGCAACCGCAUCAUGAUGGAUGUCGCUCAUCCCAGGACGGAUCCAUCAUUGAUCUUACGCCCACCGGCAUCGUUCGGGUUUCGGGCACGACGAGAAAGAGUGUGGCAUAGGAGACGGCGGUGCCUUGAGUCCCUGAGCCGGCUCGUGUCCCAUACCUAUUUUACCUGGCCGGCGACCGGACCAACACUCUGAGAAGCGCAGCCGACCGCCGGACAUGGCGAGGUCAGAUGAGCUCCGCUUAAAAAAUCGUUUAUGUUGCAUGUAAUAAUAUGGAUUUAAGAUUUCUAAUUUAAAAUAUCCGGAUAUAAAAUGCAUUAUUUGAGACGUGAUCAAUCAAUGUUUUGCGAAAGUUUGAGGAUCGGAUUUGCGAAGUCCGGCCGCAGAUGCUUUGAGACCGUCGUAUGAUCUCAUCGCCCGUGCGCACGUCCGGCCCCCUCGUUCCUGACAUCGCAGCAUGCUCCACCGACGACCCACGCAGACGUGCCUCACCAGGAAAAGAAAGCGUAAAAGAUCAGACGCCACCAGUGAGUGAGACCCGGGUGAUGGAGCGUCGGCGUAGAAAAGGCACAAGUAGUGGUAAAAGGAAAUCCGCCACCAACGGUCAGUAAAAGCUGUACGUACUCCUACGUACCAAAGCAUCAAGGAAAGCAGCUCUAUCUGAUUGGAACCCGAGAGCAAAGCUCCCACUCAAAUCAUGAUAAGCCCACUAUGCACACAACGCAGUGCCUCAAGCGGAAUAACCCCCUAGUACUGGCAGUACAUGUCAAAGUACUCGUACCAUGCUGCCAUCACGGGGUCAAUCAAAAUAGGAUUUGGUACUCACUCCAAUAGCAACGCUUGUAGUUGUCGCUAAGUGGUCUACAUGUUUAAAUGUAAUUUUUAUUAUUUCUGACAUUUAUUGUACUGUUAUGAUUGAAUAUAAAUAGAUUGGAUGUUUUCAUGCAAAAAAAAGUAGCAAAUUCUCAAGGGCAAAGGACAGAAGAUCCCAAAGGCAACAUUUGAGGGUUUUUUUUGGUUUGAGAGAUUAAGGCCUGUCUAGCAAAUUCUCAAACCAAUAGUUCAAAAAGUAUAGCAUUUUUAUCCUCAAAACUUACCCCCUCCAUCCUGAAACGCACCUUCUCAGCAAAUUCUCAAACCAACAAUUCAAAAAGUAUAGCAUUUUUCGUAAGGAUUCUAAUCCAACGAAUCAAACAUCUUGAGUAGAUUUUUUUUCCGAAGGAUACAAAUCGUUCAAAUUCCUAUGAACUUUCGUUAAUUCAAAGGAGCACUGAACCAAAUUUCUACGGUUUCCUAUUUCUGCAAGAUUCAAGAUAACACACUGUUCGAAUUCUAUUUUUUUAUAUCCCAGCAUUUUGAGAAUCUUGUGAACCAAAGAUGCACCCGAAUUUUGUCGAAGAUCUAAUGGCUAAUGAUUUUAUUAUCCAGUAUAGUAAUAGCUAAUAAGGAUAUUACCUCUUACCUUAUAUGCCUAGAUAUAUAGUACAUAUUUGUGUAGUUAAGACAAAACUUGGACCAAUAACAACCGGGACAAUAUUGGAUUUAUGUGAUGUGAAUUCAUAAUUACAAAUAAGUAUGUUUUUGGUACCAUUGACCCUAAUUUGCCUCGGAAAGUGAUAACAGGCUCUUAGUAACUUCAACUAUAUAUUGUCAACCAGAGUUGCUUCCACCUUUGGAAUUAACCAAUUUGCUUCAUAGCAGUAAAUUCAAAUUUGAUUAAUUAUCUUCGAUAUUUUAUAUUGGGUAGUCUCACGAAGAAAAUUGGCUAGAAAUCAGGUGGCGCUGCAAAAAAAGGGCAAGAAAUAAAACAAGUGAGCUGAGUGCCAAUGGGCAUGGCGCCAACACCACCGACACAAGCACACAACAAACGGAUCGCCGAGGAACUUUUUUGGUUUCCUAAUUCUAUAGUAUUCAAGAGGCACACCAUUUCAAUUCUACAUUUUCAUAGCCAUUCUUGCAUUUUGAGAAUCAUGUGAAUCAAAGAUGCACCCUAAUUUUGUCAACAAUAUAAUGGAUAAUAAUGUAAUUAUCCGAUAUAAUAGCUAAUAAGGUUAUUAUCUCUUGCCUCAAAUGCCUGGAAAUGUAGGAGGACAGAGAGGGCAAUGGGGUGGCGACUCUGCCACCCCUUCCGGUACCGCCGCCCUCGCCGCCUCCUUCCUUGGAAGAGCGACGGUCGGCGCCAUCGGUGACACCUGCGGCGGCGCAGGAGACGGCGCCUUGUCCGGUUCAUCGAGGAUCCUCCUUGGCGACGGAUCAGGAUCAGGGUUUUUUGAAUCCAACAAAGUGGCGGAUUCGUUUCGAAGACGUUCGGGAUGCCGGACAUUGGAAUGAUGGAUCUCUCUACUCGCAUUCUCCGUCUAGAUGGAUGAAGAUAAGAGAUCAUGAAGGGCAGAUCUUGGGCGGACGACAUCUGGAGGUCGAUGAGAAGAUCACCGUAGGUACGCGUUUAUUGAUUGAUUUAUAUCAGAUUUGUGUUCUUGAGUGUGUGCAGGAGCCUUUGGACAAGGAAGAUCAGAUAGAGGUCGUGGAUCUUACGACGGAGACGGAAGCAUGGAAGUCCAGGCCGCGGUUUGGGGGACGUUUUUGGAUUCUUGCCGACGAGGAUGAGGAUGACGCAAAUCAACCGCCAGACUCUUUGGUUUUCCCAUCUCCACGGCUGGAUUCGGUGGUGCCCGAAUCUUUGACGCACCAACAUGGCGAGGGAGUUCGUUCUGAGGACAAGGUGGAGGUGGUUCGCCGGAUAGUUCACCGAAGGACGGCGGCAUCCGCGAUCCGGCCAUGGAAAGGCCCUUUACCCAAGGUAUGUCUUCAGCCAAUUAAGUUGUCAGAUUUCUUAUUGCCAGAUUCGUGGACUAGAGUGACCAGAAAGAAGAAGAGAAAGGCUAGGCCAGCGACUCGGACGCCGGCGCCGGUGGCCAUCGCGGCGGAUGAGAUCCGGGCGGCCAGGGCAACGCAUUUGAACCUGCUUUUGGGCCAGGUUGGGCCUGAAGCUAAGCGGGCCGAAGCGUUACUGUGCACUUUUGGGCAUGCGUUGGGGCGGUCUGGCUAGGGAGAGCUGGUUGCGUUAAGGCUGGGAUUAGCGGGGCUGGUGGCCCAGGCAAAACCAGGCCCAGGUGUCGUGGUUCUAAGUGUGAUAGUAAUGUAGGGGGUAGGUAUGGAGAGGCAAGAUCUUAUCUAUGGAGUAGUUGUAAGCACACGAGGUUUACGAGUUCAGGCCCUUCUCGGAGGAAGUAAUAGCCUUAUGUCUCAGAGCCCAGAGGCGGUCGACUGGAUUAUGUGUGUAUGAAUCACAGGGGUGCGAACCUUCUACACUGAGGAGGGGGUGGCUUAUAUAGAGUUCGCCAGACCCCUCUGGCCCUCAGUUAUGCAGGGUUUUAAGUACAUUAAGGUCGGGCGUUACUGGUAACGCCCCUAAUAAAGUGCUAUGAUGACCAUAAAAGCUACUUAAUGACCGACCGUUAGCGUGCGGAGUGAAUUUAGGUCUCCUGGCCGUCGAGUGGUUGGAUCUUGGUCGAGUGAUUGCUUCUUGGUCGAGUGUCUUCGAGUCUGUCGAGUGGAACACCUCCAAGUCGAUUGAAGGGUGAUUUCUUCUAGAGAUGUCCUUGGGUAGGGCAGUUAAGACAGGUCCAUGACCCUACCCUAGGUACAUAGCUUCAUCAUUAGCCCCCGAAUGGAUCGAGGUUUGAGUGGGGAAGGAGUUGAGAACUUCUCCGACUCAUUUUUCAUGCCAUGAGCAUAUCUUGUUUCAGAUCAAUGAACCCGAGUGACGACAGCAACUUCCUUUUCAGUCGCCUUGAUCCAUUCUUAGUUUUUUGUCGACUGAGUUUCUUUACUUGAAAAGCUCCGAGUGACGGUGUGGAGGAGAUCUUCCGUCUGACAAGUUGUUCUGCUGUCCGCGGAUUUCGCGGGAUUCAAAUUUUGGGAAGCGCGCGGGGCGGGGGAGGCCGCAGCAAUCGGCUGGGAUAGGGAGGAGCCGCCUCGAUCUCUGCGCCACCUUUUUCGCCACGUAUCACGCGCGCGACUAUUGCGGGAUUUGAUAGGAUCAUCCGGGCCUACCAGUCAGCCACUCGGAAGUAACCUCAUAUAAGGCGUCAGACCGGGGUUUCUUGAACAAUGCGUUCUCAUUUCCUCUUCUCCUCUUCAGGCUUCUUCGUCGUGCUCGCUCUCGCCCCAGCGCCGUUGCUCCGAACGCGUCUCGCCGGUGACGAUGGGGAAGGAGAAGACGGUGGCUCUGGAGCGGGCGAAGAAGGCGACGGCAAAGGCGAAGGGGAAGGCGACCAGUCGGGGUGGAUCUUCCUCAUGAGCCGGCCUGCCGAAGGGCUGGAUCCAGGGCGACUGGAUCCGCUCGACGAUCCGCCAAGAAGACCUCGACGACCUAGCCGACGGAGACUGAUCCCCCAUGGAUGGGUGCGGCUUCCAGGGAAGGAAUCCGAGCCGCAACCUCGGGAGGGUGAGCGCGUUCUCCUUGCCACUCACGCCGACCAUGGGUUUUCCUUGCCUCCUCACCCUUUAUUUCGGGGAUUUCUGAAUUUCUUUGGGGCACAACUCCACCACUUCACUCCCAACACAAUUGUGUAUCUCGCUGCUUUCAUGUCUUUGUGUGAGAAUUUCUUGGGUUGUCGGCCUCACUGGGGUCUUUUCAAGCACAUUUUCACCUGUCGUUCUCAGACGGUGAAAAAGGCCAAUCCGAAUGAUGAGAGAACACAAGUGAUUCAGAUGUGUGGGGAUCUUGGUGUUCAGAUGAGAGGGAAAAGUUCCUUUUCGGCCAUGAUUCUUCCUGACUCGGUCCGCGGAUGGCAGUCGACCUGGUUUUACUUCAAAGACCAGCCGAUGCCAGGGCAGUUGACUGGCCUCCCUCCUUUUACCAUGGACCGAGUGAGGAAACCCUCUUCUUUUAAGGUGAUCCCGAAGGAGAAGGCGCAAGUUAGGGUGCUGGUCGAACGAGUGGUCCAGCUUAUCCGUGACGGGGUCACUGGUAUGGAUCUCUUGGAGGUUUUCCUCCGGCGGCGCAUCCAGCCUCUUCAAGCUCGAGACCAUCCGAUGUGGAUGUAUUCGGGUCUUGACGACACCACUCGGAUUCACCCGGAGGAGGUCGAUGACGACACACUGGAGGGGUGGCUGUCGGGCAUCACCGGAAACAAGGACAACCCCAGGGGAGCCAGGAGAGUUCCUCCAUUCAACCAGUCCCAUGAACCAGAAAAGGUCCAAUCCUGAGCUUUUGAUUAUAAUCUGAAUUCACUCGCGCAGCUGUCUAUACUGCGUCGACUGACUUUAUUCUUUCUGCUUUCUUUCAGGCCCUUAUCGAAAUGUACUCAGUGCCCAACGGAGAGCAAGAGCAAGACCCGGAAGGAGAGGCGAGCGACGGCGACAGUGGCGAAUGGCAUUCUGACGGAGAAGGGGACGAAGAAAGCGACGAAUUAAGUGACGAAGAAGAAGUUGAGUCACCUCCUCGCAGGGAGAGGCGAUCCAAGCUUAACCAAGAACGACCGAGCGCCCGUGAAAAGGCGAUUGCUCAGACUGGUCAGUCUUCAAAGUGUCCUCGGACAUCUUCACCAACCCCAACUAAAAAAGCGUCAAAGCAUCCCAAAGUUGCAGAGCAGAAGCCUCGGAAGGCGCUGCCGAAGAUUAAGAUUGACAUCCCCAUCGCUUCUGCGUGAGUGUCUCCCUUUGUAUUCACUUGACGCUUCGUGCUGUUUAUUUUUUCUUGAUUUAGCCAGACGAACUUUGGAACUGGCAGCGUUGCUACUUCCAGGACCUCAGAUUAUAGGGAUGAGGAUGAGGUAAUGGAGGAUGUAGUCACUUCCAAUCUGCGUAUGAUUUCUGUCAUUCUGUCUUUACUUGGUCGACUCAACUGCAAUGUGUACCAUUGGGUGAUGUGAUUUUGGCGAUUGAUCUUUGAACAGCUCCUAACAUUAUUGACCUCCCCGAUGAUGAUGAUGAAGAGCCUGAGAGGCCUUUGACGAGGAAAAAUAGGAAAGCUCCUGCAGGCAAGGUGCCACAGUCGACGCCGAUGGCGGAACCAAUCGUUCAGGACGCUGGUGAUGCCAAUCGGGGUUCUGUUACCUUCGCCGUACCAUUGUCGAGUGCCCUGCCUUCUUCGUCGACUGCUCAAGCUCCUGCGGACCCACCUUCAGUUUUUGCGAUCCAUCAUGUCCCAGAGGACGAAGUGAAUGCUGCCAAGGAAGCCAUACGCCAGGCGGGCAUUAUGAUGGAUAAGAUGAAGGCAGUGCGGGACGCCAGUCAGGCCGCCUAUGACGCCAGCUCAGCUCUCCAAAGCAAUGUUCAGGUUAGUUGGUCACCGCUUGUUCUGUUAGGAUAUGAUAUCUGAAGACUAUCUUUCCGAAAAUCUUUGCAUCUGUACACCCACUGGGUGCAUCGAAUGAAUUUUUGGACUAGUGGGGGCACGCUGAGUGCACCCACUGGGUGUAGUCCAGGAGACUACGGUGGACUGCUGGCAGUCGACUGUAGUCUUUGUAUUUUGAUUCUUUCGCUCGAUCUGGUCUGGCCGUGUCGAGUUCUGUGGUCUGAGUUCUUCUUUCUUUUUUUUAUUCCCUGCACUCGACUCCGGCGGGCCGGUCGAGUGGGAUCAGAACCGGUGGGGGCACGCAAAGUGCACCCACUGGGUGUAGUCCCCGAGACUAUGGUGGGCUGCGGGCAGUCGACCGUAGUCUUAGUAUUUAUUGUCUUUGUCAUUUUUCGCUGUAAAAUAACUUCCCCUCCCUGAUUGCAGAAAUCUUGUGAUCUCGGAGCUUGCUUUGCUGACUUGGAGAAACAGCAGAUCCAGCUAAACCUUGACUUGGAAUUGGCUCAGCAAAAUCUGAAAAAAGCUCAAGAUGAGGCCGCUGGUAUGGAAGGUAACUGAUUGCCGACUGAACUUCAAUAUAUCUCUUUGGUCUCUUUUUUGAUUCGAUUAUUUCUUUUGCAGAGAAAAUGAAGUUGGCUCUGGACAAGGACUCGGACCUCGCCGCCGCACAAAAAGCAGCCCAAGACAAAACCGUUCUCGCAGACGAGAAGCUUGCUUCAGUCGGAACGCUUGAAGGAGAGGUGACUAGACUGACAUCUUGUCUUAAUGAAGCUAACCACAAAGUGACCAGCCUGAAGAAGGAUAAGGUCGCUGAGGGAGUCCUGGAUUAGGGGGUGUUCGGGUAGCCGGACUAUACCUUCAGUCGGACUCCAGGACUAUGAAGAUACAAGAUUGAAGACUAUGUCCCGUGUCCGGAUGGGACUUUCCUUGGCGUGGAAGGCAAGCUUGGCGAUGCGGAUAUUCAAGAUCUCCUACCAUUGUAACCGACUCUAUGUAACCCUAACCCUAUCCGGUGUCUAUAUAAACCGGAGGGUUGUAGUCCGUAGGACAUCAACACAAUCAACUCCAUAUACAACAAUCAUACCAUAGGCUAGCUUCUAGGGUUUAGCCUCCUUGAUCUCGUGGUAGAUCUACUCUUGUACUACCCAUAUCAUCAAUAUUAAUCAAGCAAUACAUAGGGUUUUACCUCCAUCAAGAGGGCCCGAACCUGGGUAAAACAUCGUGUUCCCUGCCUCCUGUUACCAUCCGGCUUAGACGCAUAGUUCGGGACCCACUACCCAAGAUCCGCCGGUUUUGACACCGACAUUGGUGCUUUCAUUGAGAGUUCCUCUGUGUCGUCGCCUUUAGGCCCGAUGGCUCCUUUGAUCAUCAACAACGAUGCGGUCCAGGGUGAGAUUUUUCUCCCCGGACAGAUCUUCGUCUUCGGCGGCUUCGCUCUCGGGCCAAUUCGCUUGGCCACGUGGAGCAGAUCGAAAGCUACGCCCCUGGCCAUCAAGUCAGGUUUGGAAGCCUAAAUUACAUGGCAGACAUCCACGGAGAUUUGAUCUUUGACGGAUUCGAGCCACAACUAAGCGCGCCGCACUACCUCGAGGGGCAUGAUCUAGCUCUGCCCCCGGACAGUGUCCUGGAGUCCGCACACGCAUCGGUUCCGACCCCUAACUUGGAGCCUAUUGCACCAAUCAAGGAUGAGCGGUUGGACGUCACCUCGGGGGCUGCGAUCCCGAAAGAGAUCGAGCCGAACGCUAGCCCCGCACUCUGCAUGAUCCGUGACUCCGAGGAUCCGGACUCCUCUUCGGACUCCGAACCCCCCGUGCCCCUGCCGAUCGAAUCUGAUUGGGCGCCAAUAAUGGAGUUCACCGCCACGGAUAUCUUUUAGCACUCGCCUUCUGGCGAUAUCCUGAAUUCUCUCAAGUCUCUCUCUUUAUCAGGAGAGCCCUGGCCGAACUACGGUCAGCGAGGAUGGGAUACAGACGAUGAGGAAAUUCAAAGCCCACCCACCACCCACUUGGUAGCCACUGUCGACAAUUUAAACGACGUGCUCAACUUCGACUCCGGAGACAUCGACAGCAUGGAUGACGAUGCAGGAGAUACCGAUGAACCAACGCCCAUAGGGCAUUGGACAGCCACCUCAUCUCACGAUGUGUACAUGGUGGAUACCCCUAAAGGAAGCAACAAUGAGGAAAAGGGGGAUGGAACAGGAGAUCGCCCCCCGAAAAGCAAUCAAAGCGUCGGCGUAAACGCCGACCCAAGCCCCGCCUCGACAAAAACCCAGCCAUAGAGAAGGACGAGCCGGUAGACGACGAGCAGGCCUUAGAGCAACCGUCCGAAUAGGGCAAUACGGAUAGAGAAACCGAACAUCCCUCCUCCGGCGAAAACGGCAUUCCGGACGACCUCACGCCGGAUAAACCUAUGGAGCAGAAGAAUCUCCACGAGAGGCUCGUUGCAACUGCACGCAGCCUAAAAAAGCAGAAGCGAAAGCUAAAAACAGCGGAAGAUGCACUCCGGAUUAGAUGGAGCAAAGUAAUCAAUACCGCAGAUAAAUACGGCGACGGUCGCCGUACUAAAAGCUAUCCGAAAAGAAAGCUACUACCUGAAUUCGACGAAGAGGCCCUAGAGCCCUCGCAUUCAAAAAAUGAGAAAGCCACACGGUCGGAUAGACGAUCCCAUAAAGCGGCAAGCGGCGCCGCACUUAAAUCGGCAUGCGACCCACUUAAGGAUUCGCACCAUGGCCCAGUCAGGUCCAUUUAUGGGCCAAGAAAGCAAGCUCUCGUAAGCAAUGCUACGAAGCCAUCAUCAGAAUCCGGCACACCCAAAUACAGGGGCGCCGCACACCCCCUAUGUUUCACCGAUGAGGUCCUGGACUAUGAAUUUCCAGAGGGAUUCAAACCCGUAAACAUAGAGGCAUAUGAUGGAACAACCGACCCUGGAGUCUGGAUCGAGGAUUAUAUCCUCCACAUACACAUGGCUAGAGGAGAUGAUCUCCACGCCAUAAAAUAUUUACCCCUUAAGCUUAAAGGGCCAGCCCGACAUUGGCUUAAAAGCCUUCCUGAAAACACAAUUGGAAGUUGGGAAGAGCUCGAGGAUGCUUUCCGAGCAAAUUUUCAAGGGACCUAUGUCCGCCCUCCGGAUGCAGACGAUCUUAGUCACAUAACUCAACAGCCCAGAGAAUCAGCUCGGCAGUUCUGGAAUAGAUUCCUCACUAAAAAGAAUUAGAUAGUCGACUGUCCGGACGCCGAAGCCUUAGCAGCUUUCAGGCAUAACGUCCGAGACGAAUGGCUCGCAAGACACCUCGACCAAGAAAAGCCAAGAACAAUGGCCGCACUAACAAGCCUCAUGACCCGCUUUUGUGCAGGAGAGGACAACUGGUUGGCAAGGUGCAGCCCCAGCGACCCAAGUACAUCCGAAACUAGGGAUGGAAACGGAAAACCGCGGUGCAACAAGGACCGUCGCCGGACUAAGGAAAAAAGUCCGAAGAGCAUGGCAGUCAAUGCCGGAUUCAAAGGUUCACGAGAAAAUCAGACAAAACCACCCCUCCAGGAUAACAGGGACGAUCCAUCCAACUUAAAUAAAAUCCUGGACAGGAUAUGUCAGAUACACAGUACUCCCGGGAAGCCUUCUAACCAUACCCACAGAGAUUGUUGGGUUUUCAAACAAUCCGGCAGACUCAAUGCCGAACACAAGGGGCUCGACACACCAAGCGAAGACGAGGACGAACCCCAAAAGCAGAACACCAGGAAACAAAAGAACUUCCCACAAGAAGUAAAAAUAGUGAACUUACUUCACAUAACAAAAUGUGCGGAGCCCAUAAAGGUACGCACCACAUGGCCUAUCCCCAAAGGGUCCCGCCACUGGUUGUCAAAACCAAUCAUCUUCAAUCAGCUAGAUUAUUCUAGAAAUAUCAAGAAUGCAGGCUGGCCUGCCUUGAUACUCGAUCCAAUAAUUGGCGGACUCCGGUUUUCAAAUGUCCUUAUGGACGACGGCAGUGGACUAAACCUGAUAUAUCAGGAUACAAUCCAUCACAUGGGGAUAAACCCAGCAAGAAUCCGCCGCAGCAAAACCUCCUUUCAAGGGGUAACACCUGGUCCGAACACCCAUUGUAUGGGUUUUCUCCGGCUCAAAGUUAUAUUCGGCUCUACCGAUAACUUCCGCCGCGAAAAGCUAACCUUCCAUAUCGUCCCGUUCUCAAGUCGCUAUCAAGCACUACUGGGACGCGAAGCUUUCGCCCGCUUUAACGCAAUACCGCAUUAUGCAUCUCUCAUGCUUAAGAUGCCCGGUCCACGAGGCAUCAUCUCUUUGAAUGGGAAGCACUAAAGUGCGCCUCCCCAAGCGGAGGACUGUGUGGCCGCUUUGACAGCCCCACAGUAAAAUGGCCUCACCGGCCAAAAAACUUCGAAAUAGGUCAUUAAAGACCACGAACGCGGAUAGACGAGUUCGGGACAAAAUCAUCAUUGAUGCAGGCUUAGUGGCCAUAUAACCCCACUAGGGGCUCCAUGCAUAUACAAUAAGAGACAAUGAAGCUCAAUUUUAUAUAUUUUACUUUAUACUUUGUUUAUUUUAAACUUUUGUUCGGCACGACCAGUUUUCAACUUAGUUCCUCUCUUUUACAGAUGAACGUCAUGCGGCGCACGUCCAGGAUACGGCACAACGGAGAGACAGGCGCAGACGUGCAGUAGGGACCUGUCCUAAAGGAUUCUUUUUAUAUUAAGACCCUGCGUAAACCUUUUUUACUGUCUCUUGUUGCUACACAUCCCCUGGUUUUUUCUGAUAUAACCAAGGAGGAGGCUGGCGUCUUGGCAUGUGGACACGUCAGAAUUUUUGCAUGUACCUGGACACUAGGGUUUUUUUUAAUAAAGAGUGUUGUUUCACCCACAUUCAUAAAGACCGAACACCUUAGGGAGUGUUCGGCGUCGCGAGUUUUGGCAUUAUAUGCAUCAGCUCCGAAUCAUGUCUUUGGUCAAAUGUUGGGUUGCCUGGCUCCUGAGUUCGGCUACCUUAUGUUCCGCUCUAUCGGCUAAGGUAGCACCAGGAGAACUACUGCGAUUGUGCCCCGGUUCGGCCGGGCGAGCACCUCAGUAGAGAAAGCCAAAAACUGACUGUCAUGAUGUAGCAUGAGACUGGUCAGCCACUCAAUGACCUAUCGGAAUCUAUCGGAUUCCUCCGCUUUAACGAAGGGCCGCUUCCCGGUCAGGCACAUACGCGCCCCAAACUCGGAUGAGCGCAGUUGCCACCAAGGAGCUACUUAAAUAGUCUCACUAUCAAGCUCCUAUGGCUAAGUGAAAGUGUUAAAGCAUUAUAGUCCGGUUGCCUGGCCCGCUGCGCUAUCACCUCCUUUGUAGGACCAAGACGUUGGGUUAAGUGUGAAAAUGCGUCUUCUGCGAGCACCCCCGCACUAUGUGCGUGGGGGCUGAAGCCAACGACUGCCAUCUUUCAGAUUUUAUAUUAAAACGGCCGCACAGGAGGUGUUCCCAAUACUUGAAGGCACAAGUAUAAAAAGGCCACUACAGUUUAUCAAAAUAUUACUUUAUAAUUACAUAUGCUAUCAUAACAUAGCAUCUUUCGAGCACUGCAUCUCUAUUACACGAGCGCCUUCAAGGACUUCCUGAAAAUAGUGCUUGGAGGGUACUCGGCUUUUGUCCGAAUCUCGGGACGCAACAACGGUGGCCUCCAUCUCUGCCCAGUAUGUCUUAACACGGGCAAGAGCCAUCCUUGCGCCCUCUAUGCAUGCUGACCUCUUCAUUGCAUUUAUACGCGGCACCGCGUCAAGGAAUUGCUGCACCAAGCUGAAAUAACUCUUUGGCUCCGAUCUCCCCGGCCACAGAUGACCCAUAACGUACUUCAUGGCGAGUCCGGACAACCUAUUCAGUUCGGCCCAUUGAGCCAAACAAUCGUCCACUGCUAGUGGACGCUCUGGAUUGUGAAACAGUGACCAGAAAAGCUUUUCCACUUCGCGAUCUUUCUGAUCUCGAAAGUGUUCGGUCGCAUCAGCAGCACUCGCUGCCAAAUCCAGAUAGGUAUCCUCCACACUCCACAUCCGGUCCAACGGAGCAAACUUCGGAUCGCAAAAUUUCCUUCGCAGCAUAAAGGGCUUUCCAGCCGCAAUUUGUUCGGCCCGACGCAGCUCCUCCUUCACAGCUCUCAUCACAGAGCGCGCGUCCUUGGCAUUGGCAACGGCCUUCUCUAAGUCCGUCUGUUUUGCCUGGUCUUCUUUCUCAAGAAGUCUGCAAUGGUCUGCAGCACUCUUUAACUUUUCGGCCAUCUCGGCCAUCUCUUCCUUGCUUCGGCAAUGAGUAGCCUGUUCGGCUCUCAGCUCUUCAAGGGCUUUCUUGGCAGCCGCAUCACUUUCUUUGGCUUGUUCUUUAGCUCGGGCAAGUUCUGCCCUAAGACUCUCCACGGCGACCGCACCAUCUGCGUUAAGCACACACAUCGUAAGACACAGGCAUAAAACUAUUCCUACCUGAUGCAGCGCGAGGAAUUACAUACCUUGACCCUCAUCAAGCCGCUUGUUGACAAGCGUGAUGCCGGCAUCUGCCACGUCCAGUUGCCGCUUUAGUUCGGCAAAAUCGUCAGUUCGGCUCGAUUCCGGACACCCUUCCGCCUACAUUCAAAGGCGACAUCUUAGACCUGGGAUUAUGAUCCUCCGCGUGCCGUCAUUUCUUGAUGACGCGCAGAGUCUCAGGGGCUAUUAUCUACACAUGGUGCAUCUUAUUCAUGCGCAACGGACAAAAGUAUACAUUAUCUAAUGUACCUCGAAACCCGUCAGUAAACUUUUGACGGCCUCAUGCAAUCCGCUCUCUGCGGAUGAAAUCCUUUCAAUCACCGUGCCCAUCAAUGCGCGGUGCUCCUCUGAGAUAGAAGCUCGCCCCAGCAGAAUCUUUAGCUCCUCCGGCCGAGCACCAGACGAUGCUGGGCUCGUCCCAUGACCUCUUUCGAAGGCCGGACGCGGAGAACCUCGGGGGGGGGGGGGCGCAUAUCUACCUUCCGCCCUUGCCGGAUUCGGAGAAACCCUCCGCGACGACACCUCAGGGUCGCCCGCCUCGCUAGGCGGCACAACAAGGGGAGGCGUCCCGCUCUCCAUCAUCUUCGGAAGAAGAUCCCCCGAAGACGAGCUCUGCUGGGAAGGGCUGAGGUCCGAGCUACAAGGUAAAGGUUCGGUUAAUCUUCUCAGAUAUAAAUUAAGGAUUUCCCUCAUCCCUCAAAAGGAAAAUCUUUCUCUACUUACGGCUCGCUGGAGGGCUGAUCCCCUUGAGGGCGUAGUCCGGCCGAGGAACUCCCCGGCGUCGGACCUUCUAACGAGGAUUUUCUCCCCCGCUUCAAGGCCAUGGUUUCCGGGUCGUCAGAGGCGGCUCUCUUCUUCCCCCUAGGAGAGGAAUUGUCGGUUCCUCCCUUCGGAGCAGCCUCCUUCGAGGAGGCCAUAGCUUCCUUGUCCUCCCCCUCCAAAGGCAUUAUCUCCAGCAUCCUAACCAGCACAGAAUCCGGCCUGGUUUCAGGAAGGGGAGCCGGACACCUGAUCAGCUUUGCCUUCGCUAUCCACUCCUGUUUAAAAGGAUGACUCUUUUAGGGGCAAGUUUAUGACAAUUAUACGGAUAGAAGGUCCGGGCACAAGGUUGCUUACUUGAGUAUCUGGGCGAUUGCAGCUUAGGCCUGCAUCCUCGGUUAAAUCCGAACACAUCUCUUGUGAUCCGAAGAACAGUUUAUACAUCUCCGUGGGCGUUGCGCCCAUAAAAUUCUGGAGAGCUCGUGGUCCCUCUGGAUUAAACUCCCACAGGCGAAGGGAGCGACGUUUGCCGGGCAAUAUUCAGCGAAUCAGCAUGACCUGCGUCACCUUGACCAGGCUGAGGUCUCCUUCCAAAAGAUCCUUAAUGCGGCCCUGUAACAAGGGCACGUCUUUGGGCAAACCCCAAUCUAACCCUCUGUUAACCCAUGACGGUAGCCGUGGUGGGGGACCCGAGCAAAAGGCAGGAAGCGCCACCCACUUGGUGCUCUGGGGAGUGGUGAUAUAAAACCACUCUUGUUGCCACAAGCCUAGCUCCUCUUGAAAAGAGCCCUCGGGCCAUGGAGCAUCAGCAUUUUUUCUUAAUACAGCGCCUCCACACUCUGCGUGCCGUCCCUUGAUCAUCUUCGGCUCCACUUUGAAAGUCUUGAGCCAUAAUCCGAAGUGAGGGGUAACACGGAGGAACGCUUCGCAUACAACUAUAAACGAGGAGAUAUGGAGGAUGGACUCCGGAGCUAAGUCGUGAAAUUCGAGCCCGUAAUAAAACAGCAGUCCCCUCACAAAGGGAUCCAUCGGGAAGCCUAACCCCCGAAGGAAGUGAGACAUGAACACUACGCUCUCACCAGGCUGGGGACUAGGGAUAGCCUGCCUUUGAGCAGGAAACCUGUGUGAAAUUUCGGCGGUCAAGAACUUAGCCUCUCUCAACUUUAGUACGUCCUCCUCCGUGACGGAGGAGGGCAUCCAUCGGCCUUGAAGGUCGGAACCGGACAUUGUCGAAGGUCUGAGGCGCCCGGAAUCUGGAGCCUAGGGUGUUGGAACUCGAGGCGACGGGCGAACUCGUUUUGGGAUUGGAGAAAAGUAGUAAGGCCCUGGUCUCUUUAUAAGAGGUUGAAUACCAGAAGCCCUCCCCGUAACCGUUUGGGACUCGCCUUUAAUCGAGAAAACAUGCUAACAGGCACGAUUGGGUUACCCACGUCCGUAUUGAUGAGAAUCCCAUAAAAGGGGAGUACACAAUCUCUGCUUUGACAAGACGUGCCAAGGAAACUGCCUCGCAAAACACGCUGAGGUGGAAAAGUGAAAAUGAUUCGAGUAAAGGACUUGGCCGUAGUAUGAUGACGCACUACGGAAUACGUCAGCAGAUUUGAUUUGUGUUAAUAUUAUUCUCUCUAUGGCAAUAUGUGGAAGCUUAUUUUGCAGAGCCGGACACUACUCUUGGUGUUUACGAUCUUCUAUGAAGGACUUGGAGGAGGAACCUGCCUUGCAAUGCCGAAGACAAUUUGCGCGCCGGACUCGUCGUCAUUGAAGCCUGGUUCAGGGGCUACUGAGGGAGUCCUGGAUUAGGGGGUGUUCGGGUAGCCGGACUAUACCUUCAGCCGGACUCCAGGACUAUGAAGAUACAAGAUUGAAGACUACGUCCCGUGUCCGGAUGGGACUUUCCUUGGCGUGGAAGGCAAGCUUGGCGAUGCGGAUAUUCAAGAUCUCCUACCAUUGUAACCGACUCUAUGUAACCCUAACCCUAUCCGGUGUCUAUAUAAACCGGAUGGUUGUAGUCCGUAGGACAUCAACACAAUCAACUCCAUAUACAACAAUCAUACCAUAGGCUAGCUUCUAGGGUUUAGCCUCCUUGAUCUCGUGGUAGAUCUACUCUUGUACUACCCAUAUCAUCAAUAUUAAUCAAGCAGGACGUAGGAUUUUACCUCCAUCAAGAGGGCCCGAACCUGGGUAAAACAUCGUGUUCCCUGCCUCCUAUUACCAUCCGACCUAGACGCAUAGUUCGGGACCCACUACCCGAGAUCCGCCGGUUUUGACACCGACAGUCGCCCUAAACGAAAAUUCGGAGUCUGCGAUCUGCAAGAGGAACGACACAGAAGCUUAUCUGAGGACCCUUGCCAAGAAGGUUUAUCUCGUGCUGGGAGGUAUUUCUUUUAAUCCGACUGUGUUGAUGCUUGCCAUCAGAUUUUUCUCGGUUGAUUGAACUGACUUUUGGCUUCAGAACUUUGUCAAGACUUUGAUGAAGAAACUGGAAGGGUCGAGACGGGUCUGGACCCUAUCGCUUCCCCGGUCUGCGACGAAACUGCGAUGAACGUGCUCCGACUAGAGUCCCGUAUCGCCAGCGCCACAAGCUACCUCGCGCGCCUGAAGGAGGUUGUCUCUCGAAUCGACUCGACGCUUUGGCUGGGGGCGACGCUUCAGAAUGGUCUGGAAUCUCUGAUGACUCGACUGAACGAGAUCCUUGGCCGAGUGCAAGAAUGGAAGAAAUCCUCCACCCGGUGUGGUGCUGAUGUGGCGCUGUCCCUGGUGUGAGUCCAUUGCAAGGAGGCUCAUGAAGACAAGCUGGCUGCGAUCAAAGUCGCUAACACCAAAAAGCACGACUUCCGGUCCUUCAUGGAGACUUUCAUUGCUGCCGCUACUCGGAUCACUGAUGGGAUCGAUCUGGACUCAUUCGUGGAGCCUGCCAGCCCUCCUCCGGCCGAGUGAACAAUCUUAUGAAACUUGGAUACACUUUAAAUUUGCCUCGGAAUGCCGAGUGGUUUCUGUAACUGUUAAACUCCUUCGGGCAUGGUGCCUGAGUACCUUUGAUUCGCUGCUUGGAACCUUUUAGUAUUUAUCUGAACUUGGUUUAUCGUUGAAUAUCUUCAUGAAUUCUCCGUCGAGUGGAACUCGUUCUUCACUCGAGAAAACUUUUGUAUUUGUGGCACAGCUCCGAAGGAGAAGGUAGCAGUCGACCUGCACCUCGUCGUCCUUGUGGGUCGGGAUGGAGCGCACGUUGUAUUUGUGGCGAAGCUCCAAAGGAGAAGGUGGCAGUCGACCUGCACCUCAUCGUCCUUGUGGAUUGGGAUGUGUUUCGUACUUAGGCGAGUACUGGACUGCAGCUAAGCCUCCGAGUGGGAGGGUCGCUCUCCACUCGGUAGGAUUUUUCAAACUUAGGCGAGUAUUGGACUGCAGCUAAGCCCCCGAGUGGGAGGGUCGCUCUCCACUCGGUAGGAUUUUCAAACUUAGGCGAGUACUGGACUGCAGCUAAGUCCCCGAGUGGGAGGAUCGCUCUCCACUCAGUAGGAUUUUUCAAACUUCAGCGAGUACUGGACUGCAGCUAAGCCCCCGAGUGGGAGGGUCNNNNNNNNNNNNNNNNNNNNNNNNNNNNNNNNNNNNNNNNNNNNNNNNNNNNNNNNNNNNNNNNNNNNNNNNNNNNNNNNNNNNNNNNNNNNNNNNNNNNNNNNNNNNNNNNNNNNNNNNNNNNNNNNNNNNNNNNNNNNNNNNNNNNNNNNNNNNNNNNNNNNNNNNNNNNNNNNNNNNNNNNNNNNNNNNNNNNNNNNNNNNNNNNNNNNNNNNNNNNNNNNNNNNNNNNNNNNNNNNNNNNNNNUACUGGACUGCAGCUAAGCCGCAGAGUGGGAGGGUCGCUCUCCACUCGGUAGGAUUUUUCAAACUUAGGCGAGUACUGGACUGCAGCUAAGCCCCCGAGUGGGAGGAUCGCUCACCACUUAGUAGGAUUUUCAAAUACUUAGGCGAGUACUGGACUGCAGCUAAGCCCCCGAGUGGGAGGCUGGCUCACCACUCGGUAGGAUUUUCAAAUACUUAGGCGAGUACAGGACUGCAGCUAAGCCCCCGAGUGGGAGGCUGGCUCACCACUCGGUAGGAUUUUCAAACACUUAGGCGAAACAGGUUCACAGCUAAGCCUCCGAGUGAGAGGCUGGCUCACCACUCGGUAGGAAAUUAUUUUUACAAACUUAGGCGAAACGGAUUCGCAGCUAAGCCACCCACUGCGGGAUUUGUCACGCAAACAAAAACAAUAACAAUCACUGGGAAAAUUAUAACGCUCUUGUCUUUGAUAAAUAAACUACAGAAGUUUUUCUUAUUACAUCUCAUCCGAGUGAAAAUUCAAGUAUAAAAGGGGCGGAGCAGCUCCGCAUUCCAGGCUCGUGGCUCAUCAAUCUGGCGAUCGACAUUAUAAAGGUGGUACACUCCAUUGUGGAGGACUCUGGUGACUAUGAAGGGACCUUCCCAAGUAGGAGCGAGUUUGUGUGGUUUCUGUUCAUCCACUCGGAGGACCAAGUCUCCUUCUUGGAAGGCUCGACUCUUCACAUUUCUGGCAUGGAAUCGACGCAACUCUUGCUGAUAGAUGGUCGAUCGGAUCAUGGCCAUUUCUCUUUCUUCUUCCAGGAGGUCGACUGCGUCCUGCCGGGCUUGUUCUGCUUCAUCUUCAGAGUAGAGCUCGACUCGGGGUGCGUUGUGAAGCAGGUCACUCGGCAAAACUGCUUCGGCUCUGUAGACCAGAAAGAAUGGGGUUCUUCUAGUCGAUCGGUUCGAGGUUGUCCUCAAUCCCCAAAGAACUGAUGGAAGCUCGUCAACCCAUGCACCUGCUGCGUGCUUGAGAUCGCGCAUCAGUCGGGGUUUCAGUCAUUUGAGAAUUAAGCCGUUUGCUCUUUCCGCUUGUCCAUUCGACUGGGGGUGAGCGACUGAAGCAUAGUCGACUCAUGUGCCUUGAGAGGCGCAAAAGGCUCUGAAUUUGUCAGAAUCGAAGUUUGACCCAUUGUCAGUGAUGAUGCUGUGCGGAACUCCAUAUCUGAAUAUCAACUCUCUGAUGAAACUGAUAGCAGUGCAAGCAUCAAGAUUCUUGAUAGGCUUAGCUUCAAUCCAUUUGGUGAACUUGUCGACUGCUACUAGCACAUGAGUGAAGCCGCUCCUGCCCGUUCUCAGUGGUCCAACCAUGUCCAGUCCCCAAACAGUGAAGGGCCAGACGAGUGGAAUGGUUUUCAGGGCUGACGCGGGUUUGUGCGACAUAUUGGAGUAAAACUGACAUCCUUCACAUUUGUCGACUAUCUCUUUCGCCAUUUCAUUCGCCCUUGGCCAGUAGAAUCCCGCUCGGUAUGCUUUAGCCACAAUGGUCAAAGAGGAUGCAUGAUGACCACAAGUCCCUGAGUGGAUAUCAUCAAGGAUUAUCUGACCUUCUUCUGGUGUUAUACACUUCUGACUGACUCCAGUCGCGCUUUCUCUAUAUAACUGUCCCUUUAUGACUGUAAAGUCCUUGGAUCGACGGUCGAUCUGUCGAGCCUCUUCUUCGUCCUCUGGGAGUUCUUUCCUUAGGAUGUACGCGAUGUACGGUACCGUCCAGUCGGGAGUGAUGAUCAAAACUUCCAUGACCAGGUUGACCACAGUUGGAACUUCAAAUUCAAUCGGAUCCGUGGCACUUUUUGGCUGCGGGGCUUCUUCAGUGAAAGGAUCCUCCUGAACUGAUGGUGUGUGGAUGUGUUCCAAAAACACAUUGCUGGGAAUGGCUUCUCUUUUGGAACCUAUUUUCGCCAAAUCAUCAGCUGCUUGAUUUUUCAGUCGGGGUAUGUGAUGAAGUUCUAACCCCUCGAAUUUCUUCUCCAGCUUUCUCACUGCAUUGAAAUAACCAGUCAUGGCCGUACUUCUGACGUCCCACUCCUUCAUCACUUGAUUAACCACCAAAUCUGAGUCGCCAUAGACCAUGAGGCGACGGAUGCCGAGUGAAAUGGCCAUGCGCAACCCAUAUAAAAGUGCUUCAUAUUCUGCUUCGUUAUUGGAGGAAUCAAAGUGGAUUUGAAGAACAUAUCUGAGCUUAUCUCCUCGGGGGGAGACCAAUACUACCCCGGCACUGGAAGCAUUCAGCAUUUUGGAACCGUCGAAGAACAUGGUCCAAUGCUCCGAGUGAACCUGAGUCGGCAGUUGUUGUUCAAUCCACUCGGCGACGAAAUCUGCUAUUGCUUGGGACUUGAUAUCUUUCUUUGCCUCAAACUUGAUAUCUAGAGGAAGGAGUUCAAUCGCCCAUUUUGCCACUCGACCAGUUGCAUCUCUGUUGUGCAGGAUCUCUGACAAUGGAGCAUCGCUGACGACUGUAAUGGAAUGAUCAGAGAAGUAGUGAGCAACCUUCUUUGUGGUCAUAUAAAUCCCAUAUACAAGCUUCUGAUAAUGAGUAUAUCUUUGCUUCGACGGGGUCAAAACUUCAGAAAUAUAAUAUACUAGGCGCUGAACUUUGAAGGCUUUUCCUUCUUCUUCCCGCUCGACCGUAAGUACCGUACUAACGACUUGUCCCGUGGCUGCGAUGUAAAGCAGCAAAGGCUCUUUGCUAAUUGGGGCAGCAAGCACCGGCUGGGUGGAGAGCAGAGCUUUGAGCUCUGCAAAUGCUGCAUCAGCUUCAGGAGUCCACUCGAACUUGUCUGACUUCUUCAUCAAUCGGUAAAGAGGCAAUGCCUUUUCACCGAGACGAGAGAUGAAUCGACUUAAAGCGGCCAAGCAACCAGUAAGCUUCUGGACGUCAUGCACUCGCACAGGAUGUUUCAUUCGGAGUAUAGUACCGACUUUUUCUGGAUUGGCGUCGAUUCCCCAUUCGGAAAUGAGAAAACCGAGUAACUUUCCGCUAGGAACUCCGAAUGUGCACUUUGAUGGAUUAAGCUUGAUAUCAUACCUCCUGAGGUUGGCAAAGGUUUCAGCAAGGUCAGUCAGCAGGUCGGAACCGUUCCGUGACUUGACCACAAUAUCAUCCAUGUAUGCUUCCACAUUCCGACUGAUUUGAGUGAGCAAACACUUCUGAAUCAUCCUCAUGAAUGUGGCUCCGGCAUUCUUGAGGCCGAAUGGCAUGGUAACAUAACAGAAGCACCCGAAUGGAGUGAUGAAAGCUGUUUUGAUCUCGUCAGGUCCAUACAGACGGAUCUGAUGGUACCCGGAAUAGGCGUCUAAUAAAGACAGUCGCUCACAUCCCGCAGUCGAGUCGACUAUCUGGUCGAUGUGGGGGAGAGGAAAAUGAUCUUUCGGGCAGGCCCGAUUGAUAUGUUUAAAGUCAAUGCACAUGCGAAGUGACUUGUCCUUCUUGGGGACCAUGACUACGUUGGCGAGCCACUCGGAGUGGUAAAUCUCUUGGAUGAACUCCGCUGCUAAGAGCCGAGCCACCUCCUCACCAAUACCCUUUCUCUUCUUGACGGCAGACCGUCGGAGAUGUUCUUUGACAGGUUUCACUUUUGAGUUGACUCGUAGGCGGUGCUCAGCCAGCCCCUGGGAACACCUGGCAUGUCAGAAGGCUUCCAUGCGAAGAUGUCCCAAUUCUCACGGAGGAACUAGAUGAGCGCUUCUUCCUAUUUGGAGUCGAGUGUUGUUGAGAUAUGAGUCGGAGCAGCACUGUGAUCGGUCGGGUGAAUGUGAACCGACUUCGUUUCACCAGACGACUGAAAAGCUGAUUCUGUAGCGGGCUUCUUGGCUCGCAACAAAUCACUCGGGUCUGCAGUCUUCUGGUACUCCUGCAGCUCCACCACUGCCAUCUGAGCAUCAGCGAUCUUUGAGCCUUUCUAAAAACACUCUUCUGCUUUCUUCCGAUUGCCCGUAACAGUGGUCACACCUUUGGGGCCAGGCAUCUUCAAUUUGAGAUACACAUAACAUGGUCGAGCCAUGAAGCGUGCAUAAGCUAGCCUGCCCAAAAUAACGUUAUAAGCACUCUGGAAAUCCACAACUUCGAACGUCAACUUUUCUUUGCGGUAAUUCUUGGAAUCACCGAAAACCACAUCAAGAGCAAUUUGGCCGAGUGACUCAGCCUUCUUCCCAGGAAUGACUCCAUGGAAACUCAUGUUGCUGGUACUGAGUUUGGACAUCGGAAUGCCCAUCCCUUUCAAUGUCUCAGCAUACAGUAUGUUCAAACCACUGCCACCAUCCAUCAAGACUUUGGUCAGUCGAGUGCCUUCAACAACUGGGUCGACCACCAAAGCUUGCCUCCCAAGGGUGGCAAUGUGUGUUGGGUGAUCGGACUGGUCGAAUGUGAUGGCAGUCUGAGACCACUUCAGAUAACUGGGUGUCUCCGGAGCAACCAUAUUCACCUCACGGUUGAUAACUUUCAGUCGACUUUUGCUUUCAACAUCAGCAAAAAUCAUCAAGGUGGAAUUGACCUGGGGGUAUCCAUCAUCACUGUCUUCCUUGUCCUCAACUUUGUCUGACUCCUUUUCCUUAUCUUUGGGCUGUUUGCCCUGGAACUGCUGGAUCAAGAGCCGACACUGUCGAGUGGUAUGUUUCGGGUAAAUGAGCUUACCCUCUUCAUCUUUCUUGGUGUGGAUGUGGCAUGGAAAAUCCAACACAUCAUUUCCGUCUUGGUCUUUAACUUUCUUGGGGUUCCAAGGCCCUUUGGGUUUCCCCUUAAUCUUUCCUUGAAUUACAGCCAAGGCUUCCCCAGGAGCAGCUGGCUCGGCUUUCUGCUUCUGUUUCCGAUUGGAAUUUCCUCCCCCGAUUUCUUGGGCGACUGACUUGUGCUUGCCACUCCGGAGUCGAUCCUCAUCUUCACCAUUAGCGUACUUGGUGGCGAUCUCCAUCAUCCGAUUCAGAGACAUGUCUCCGAUUCGACCGAAUUUCAGAUUCAGUUCUCUGUACUUGACGCCUUCUUUGAAGGCACAAACUGCUUGGUGAUCAGGCACAUUCUCUAUCGUGUUAUGUAACGUGAUCCAUCUCUGGAUGUAAUCCCUCAAAGUUUCAUUCGACUUCUACACGCAAGACCACAGUUCCAUCAGCCCUGCCGGUCGCUUGCAUGUUCCUUCGAAUGUGGUGACAAACACUCGGGCGAGAUCUUCCCAAGUGUAAAUGCUGCUGGGUGCUAACUGAUUCAGCCAUGCUCUGGCCGAGCCCUCUAACAUGAGAGGCAGGUGCUUCAUGGCCACUUCAUUAUUGCCGUCGCCAAUCUGGACAGCUACUCGGUAGUCUUCAAGCCAAGUAUCGGGCUUGGACUCACCGGUGAACUUACUGACUCCAGUCGCCAACCUGAAGUUGGGAGGGAUCAUAGCGGCCCUGAUGGCUCUACUAAAGCACUCUGGCCCCGAAACAUGUACUCUGCUGCUGGUAGGUGCGUCUCUGUCAUGACCUUCUCGGUGAGCUCUAUUCCUGUCAACCAAACCUUGAACGAGAAUGGAUCUCGCAUCAAAGCCUGGUUCCCUAGGGUCGACUGGAAUCCUUCGCCCAACACUAUGAGGGCGUCUGUCAUCCUGCUAUCGAGGCACAUACGAUACACUCCUCAGGGGAGGGGUAGGCACUCGACGUCGAUCGUCACGAUCGAAUCGGUGAUCAUACUGCUCAUGGUUCCCGUACUGAUCAUGCCAGUCCCCACGUCCCUCACGCCUCGGGGGCGAUCUUGGGCUAUGAGCCGACUGGGCUAUGUUUGCAACAAUGGAUCUGCUAUGAAUCCUGUUCCGCGACUAAGAAACAGCGGAAUUCUGGUCUCCUGCUACUCGGAGUAACACUCUGAUCUGCAGCAAGCCUCUGCCAGCCUCUGACUGGGAAGGAUGAAUCGACUCUGCUAUACGGGCUGCAGCUGCUAAAUUCUGAAUCGGAGUUCGAUAUACCUGCAGGGGCGGAAAGAGCCGACAUCGACUGGAUUCUGGAACCCGUUGUCGUGCAUGCUCGUCGAGUGCUCGCUGGAGGUUCUCCAGUCGAGUGCACUCAGCCAAGUUUGCCAGGCACGCGUCCUCCAAGGCACGAGCCUCGGGGGUUUCUCCAACGAUAGGAGUGUGCAGUGCAUCCAUGUUCCGGCGACGAAGUUCUUCUCUCUGCAGCGAUGUGAGAGGCUCGGGGAGAUAUUCCUCAUGGGGAUGCGACGGGUCGCCUCCACCUGCGCCUCCGUCGAUGCGGGGAAAACCAGGAGGACUGCGCGGUCCAUCGACCAUCAGAACCUCCGCCGCCGGAUCACUGCUGUCACACUCGGAUGCGGUCUCUGCGGAGCCGGUCGACAGGUCGAAUAGGCCGUAGAGGGAUUCAUCGGGCUCGAUCGCCGCGACUUGAGGGGUGGCCGACUGGCGUGCCACCGCGUGUCUCACCCACCGCUGAAGUCUCGACCGACCGGAGCGCUUGCGCCGGCGGGAAACAGGAAGGGAGGACAACACAGGGGCCGACCGAUAAUGGGUCGACGGUUGCCGCAAGAGGACACCGCGGACGCACGCGUGAAAGUGCGUUGCCCCGCGGACAGGGAGUGCGUCCACGUCGAGCGGAGCCUCCUGAAGCCAAGCGGAGUCGUCGGCGAUGAACGUGAGCGCGCCGAGACGGAUCUCGCGGCCCUCCACCAAAACUCCACCAGAAACCAUGAUGAUUUGGAUCGGAAAAGAUCACAACUCCUCCAACAAAUCGCUAAGACACCCGGCCCCAUGGUGGGCGCCAACUGUCGUGGUUCUAAGUCUGACAGUAAUGUAGGGGGGUAGGUAUGGAGAGGCAAGAUCUUAGCUAUUGAGUAGUUGUAAGCACACGAGGUUUAUGAGUUCAGGCCCUUCUCGGAGGAAGUAAUAGCCUUAUGUCUCGGAGCCCGGAGGCGGUCGACUGGAUUAUGUGUGUAUGAAUCACAGGGGUGCGAACCUUUUACACUGAGGAGGGGGUGGCUUAUAUAGAGUUCGCCAGACCCCUCCGGCCCUCAGUUAUGCAGGGUUUUAAGUACAUUAAGGUCGGGCGUUACUGGUAACGCCCCUAAUAAAGUGCUAUGAUGACCAUAAAAGCUACUUAAUGACCGACCAUUAGUGUGCGGAGUGACUUUAGGUCUCCUGGUCGUCGAGUGGUUGGAUCUUGAUCAAGUGAUUGCUUCUUGGUCGAGUGUCUUCGAGUCUGUUGAGUGGAACACCUCCAAGUCGAUUGAAGGGUGAUUUCUUCUAGAGAUGUCCUUGGGCAGGGCAGUUAAGACAGGUCCAUGACCCUUGUUGGGGAACGUAGUAAUUUCAAAAAAAAUCCUACGCACACGCAAGAUCACGAUGAUGCAUAGCAACGAGAGGGGAGAGUGUGAUCUACGUACCCUUGUAGACCGACAGUGGAAGCGUUAGCACAAUGUGGUUGAUGUAGUCGUACGUCUUCACGGCCCGACCGAUCAAGCACCGAAACUACGGCACCUCCGAGUUUUAGCACACGUUCAGCUGGAUGAUGAUCCCCGGACUCCGAUCUAGCAAAGUGUCGGGGAAGAGUUCCGUCAGCACGACGGCGUGAUGACGAUCUUGAUGUACUAUCGUCGCAGGGCUUCGCUUAAGCACCGCUACAAUAUUAUCAAGGAUUAUGGUGGAAGGGGGCACCGCACACGGCUAAGAAUAUGAUCACGUGGAUCAACUUGUGUGUGUAGGGGUGCCCCCUGCCCCCAUAUAUAAAGGAGCAAGGGGAGGAGGCCGGCCGGCCCCUAUUGGCGCGCCAGGAGGAGUCCUCCUCCUAGUAGGAGUAGGACUCCUACUAGGAGGGGGAAGGAAGUGGGGAGGGAGAAGGAAAGGGGGGCGUCGCCCCCCCUCUCCUAGUCCAAUUCGGACCAGGGGGGAGGAGGCGCGCGGCCCACCCUGGCUGCCCCUCUCUCUCUCCACUAAGGCCCAUAUGGCCCAUUACUUCUCCCGGUAGGGUUCCGGUAACCCUCCGGCUCUCCGGUUUUCUCCGAAAUCACCCAGAACACUUCCGGUGUCUGAAUAUAGCCGUCCAAUAUAUCAAUAUUUAUGUCUCGACCAUUUCUAGACUCCUCGUUAUGUCCGUGAUCACAUCUGGGACUCCGAACUAACUUCGUUACAUCAAAACUCAUAAACUCAUAAUAUAACUGUCAUCGAAACCUUAAGCGUGCGGACCCUACGGGUUCGAGAACAAUGUAGACAUGACCAAGACACGUCUCCGGUCAAUAACCAAUAGCGGAACCUGGAUGCUCAUAUUGGCUCCUACAUAUUCUACGAAGAUCUUUAUCGGUCAGACCUUAUAACAACAUACGUUGUUCCCUUUGUCAUCGGUAUUUUACUUGCCCGAGAUUCGAUCGUCGGUAUCUCAAUACCUAGUUCAAUCUCGUUACCGGCAAGUCUCUUUACUCAUUUCGUAAUACAUCAUCUCGCAACUAACUCAUUAGUUGCAAUGCUUGCAAGGCUUAUGUGAUGUGCAUUACCGAGAGGGCCCAGAGAUACCUCUCCGACAAUCGCAGUGAAAAAUCCUAAUCUCGAAAUACGCCAACCCAACAUGUACCUUUGGAGACACCUGUAGAGCUCCUUUAUAAUCACACAGUUACGUUGUGACGUUUGGUAGCACACAAAGUGUUCCUCCGGUAAACGGGAGUUGCAUAAUCUCAUAGUCAUAGGAACAUGUAUAAGUCAUGAAGAAAGCAAUAGCAACAUACUAAACGAUCGGCUGCUAAGCUAAUGGAAUGGGUCAUGUCAAUCACAUCAUUCUCCUAAUGAUGUGAUCCCGUUAAUCAAAUGACAACACAUGUCUAUGGUUAGGAAACAUAACCAUCUUUGAUUAAUGAGCUAGUCAAGUAGAGGCAUACUAGUGACGUUUGGUUCGUCUAUGUAUUCACACAAGUAUUAUGUUUCCGGAUAAUACAAUUCUAGCAUGAAUAAUAAACAUUUAUCAUGAUAUAAGGAAAUAAAAUAAUAACAUUAUUAUUGCCUCAAGGGCAUAUUUCCUUCAGUCUCCCACUUGCACUAGAGUCAAUAAUCUAGAUUACACAGUAAUGAUUCUAACACCCAUGGAGCUUUUGUGUUGAUCAUGUUUUGCUCGUGGAAGAGGCUUAGUCAAUGGGUCUGCUACAUUCAGAUCCGUAUGUAUCUUGCAAAUCUCUAUGUCUCCCACCUGGACUAGAUCCCGGAUGGAAUUGAAGCGUCUCUUGAUGUGCUUGGUUCUCUUGUGAAAUCUGGAUUCCUUUGCCAAGGCAAUUGCACCAGUAUUGUCACAAAAGAUUUUCAUUGGACCCGAUGCACUAGGUAUGACACCUAGAUCGGAUAUGAACUCCUUCAUCCAGACUCCUUCGUUUGCUGCUUCCGAAGCAGCUAUGUACUCCGCUUCACAUGUAGAUCCCGCCACAACGCUUUGUUUAGAACUGCACCAACUGACAGCUCCACCGUUUAAUGUAAACACGUAUCCGGUUUGCGAUUUAGAAUCGUUCGGAUCAAUGUCAAAGCUUGCAUCAACGUAACCAUUUAAGAUGAGCUCUUUGUCACCUCCAUAUAUGAGAAAUAUAUCCUUAGUCCUUUUCAGGUAUUUCAAGAUGUUCUUGACCGUUGUCCAGUGAUCUACUCCCGGAUUACUUUGGUACCUACCUGCUAGACUUAUAGCAAGACACACAUCAGGUCUGGUACACAGCAUUGCAUACAUGAUAGAGCCUAUGGCUGAAGCAUAGGGAACAUCUUUCAUUUUCUCUCUAUCUUCUGCAUUGGUCGGGCAUUGAGUCUUACUCAAUUUCACACCUUGUAACACAGGCAAGAAUCCUUUCUUUGCUUGAUCCAUUUUGAACUUUUUCAAAACUUUGUCAAGGUAUGUGCUUUGUGAAAGUCCAAUUAAGCGUCUUGAUCUGUCUCUAUAGAUCUUAAUGCCCAAUAUGUAAGCAGCUUCACCGAGGUCUUUCAUUGAAAAACUCUUAUUCAAGUAUCCCUUUAUGCUAUCCAGAAAUUUUAUAUCAUUUCCGAUUAGUAAUAUGUCAUCUACAUAUAAUAUCAGAAAUGCUACAGAGCUCCCACUCACUUUCUUGUAAAUACAUGCUUCUCCAAAAGUCUGUACAAAACCAAAUGCUUUGAUCACACUAUCAAAGCAUUUAUUCCAACUCCGAGAGGCUUGCACCAGUCCAUAAAUGGAUCGCUGGAGCUUGCACACUUUGUUAGCUCCCUUUGGAUCGACAAAACCUUCCGGUUGCAUCAUAUACAACUCUUCUUGCAGAAAUCCAUUCAGGAAUGCAGUUUUGACGUCCAUCUGCCAAAUUUCAUAAUCAUAAAAUGCGGCAAUUGCUAACAUGAUUCGGACAGACUUAAGCAUCGCUACGGGUGAGAUGGUCUCAUCGUAGUCAAUCCCUUGAACUUGUCGAAAACCUUUUGCGACAAGUCAAGCUUUGUAGACAGUAACAUUAUCGUCAGCGUCAGUCUUCUUCUUAAAGAUCCAUUUAUUCUCAAUUGCUUGCCGAUCAUUGGGCAAGUCAACCAAAGUCCAUACUUUGUUCUCAUACAUGGAUCCCAUCUCAGAUUUCAUGGCUUCAAGCCAUUUUGCGGAAUCUGGGCUCACCAUCGCUUCUCCAUAGUUUGUAGGUUCAUCAUGAUCUAGUAGCAUGACUUCCAGAACAGGAUUACCGUACCACUCUGGUGCGGAUCUUACUCUGGUUGAUCUACGAGGUUCAGUAGUAUCUUGUUCUGAAGCUUCAUGAUCAUCAUCAUUAGCUUCCUCACUAAUUGGUGUAGGUGUCACAGAAACUGGUUUCUGUGAUGUACUACUUUUCAAUAAGGGAGUAGGUACAGUUACCUCAUCAAGUUCUACUUUCCUCCCACUCACUUCUUUCGAGAGAAACUCCUUCUCUAGAAAGUUUCCGAAUUUAGCAACAAAAGUUUUGCCUUCGGAUCUGUGAUAGAAGGUGUAUCCAAUAGUUUCCUUUAGAUAUCCUAUGAAGACACAUUUCUCCGAUUUGGGUUCGAGCUUAUCAGGUUGAAGCCUUUUCACAUAAGCAUCGCAACCCCAAACUUUCAGAAACGACAACUUUGGUUUCUUGCCAAACCAUAGUUCAUAAGGUGUCGUCUCAACGGAUUUUGAUGGUGCCCUAUUUAACGUGAAUGCGGCCGUCCCUAGAGCAUAACCCCAAAACGAUAGCGGUAAAUCAGUAAGAGACAUCAUAGAUCGCACCAUAUCUAGUAAAGUACGAUUACGACGUUCAGACACACCAUUACGCUGUGGUGUUCCGGGUGGCGUGAGUUGCGAAACUAUUCCGCAUUGUUUCAAAUGUACACCAAACUCGUAACUCAAAUAUUCUCCUCCACGAUCAGAUCGCAGGAAUUUUAUUUUCUUGUUACGAUGAAUUUCAACUUCACUCUAAAAUUCUUUAAACUUUUCAAAUGUUUCAGACUUAUGUUUCAUUAAGUAGAUAUACCCAUAUCUGCUUAAGUCAUCUGUGAAGGUGAGAAAAUAACGAUAUCCGCCACGAGCCUCAACAUUCAUCGGACCAUAUACAUCUGCAUGUAUGAUUUCCAACAAAUCUGUUGCUCUCUCCAUAGUACCGGAGAACGUUGUUUUUGUCAUCUUACCCAUAAGGCAUGGUUCGCAAGUACCAAGUGAUUCAUAAUCAAGUGGUUCCAAAAGCGCACCAGCAUGGAGUUUCUUCAUGCGCUUUACACCGAUAUGACCCAAACAGCAGUGCCACAAAUAAGUUGCACUAUCAUUAUCAACUCUGCAUCUUUUGGCUUCAACAUUAUGAAUAUGUGUGUCACUACUAUCGAGAUUUAAUAAGAAUAGACCACUCUUUAAGGGUGCAUGACCAUAAAAGAUAUUACUCAUAUAAAUAGAACAACCAUUAUUCUCUGAUUUAAAUGAAUAACCGUCUCGCAUCAAACAAGAUCCAGAUAUAAUGUUCAUGCUUAAUGCUAGCACCAAAUAACAAUUAUUUAGGUCUAAUACUAAUCCCGAAGGUAGAUGUAGAGGUAGCGUGCCGACCGCGAUCACAUCGACUUUGGAACUAUUUCCCACGCGCAUCGUCACCUCGUCCUUAGCCAAUCUUCGCUUAAUCCGUAGUCCCUGUUUCGAGUUGCAAAUGUUAGCAACAGAACCAGUAUCAAAUACCCAGGUGCUACUGCGAGCAUUAUUAAGGUACACAUCAAUAACAUGUAUAUCACAUAUACCUUGUUCACCUUGCCAUCCUUCUUAUCCGCCAAAUACUUGGGGCAGUUCCGCUUCUAGUGACCAGUCUGCUUGCAGUAGAAGCACUCAGUUUCAGGCUUAGGUCCAGGUUUGGGUUUCUUCUCUUGAGUAGCAACUUGCUUGCUGUUCUUUUUGAAGUUCCCCUUCUUCUUCCCUUUGCCCUUUUUCUUGAAACUAGUGGUCUUAUUGACCAUCAACACUUGAUGCUCCUUCUUGAUUUCUACCUCCGCAUCUUUUAGCAUUGCGAAGAGCUCGGGAAUAGUCUUAUUCAUCCCUUGCAUAUGAUAGUUCAUCACGAAGCUCUUGUAGCUUGGUGGCAGUGAUUGGAGAAUUCUGUCAAUGGAACAAUCAUCUGGAAGAUUAACUCCCAAUUGAAUCAAGUGAUUAUUAUACCCAGACAUUUUGAGUAUAUGCUCACUGACAGAACUGUUCUCCUCCAUCUUGCAGCUAUAGAACUUAUUGGAGACUUCAUAUCUCUCAAUCCGGGCAUUUGCUUGAAAUAUUAACUUCAACUCCUGGAACAUCUCAUAUGCUCCAUGACGUUCAAAACAUUGUUGAAGUCCCAAUUCUAAGCCGUAAAGCAUGGCACACUGAACUAUCGAGUAGUCAUUAGCUUUGCUCUGCAAGACGUUCAUAACAUCUGGUGUUGCUCCAGCAGCAGGCCUGGCACCCAGUGGUGCUUCCAGGACGUAAUUCUUUUGUGCAGCAAUGAGGAUAAUCCUCAAGUUACGGACCCAGUCCGUGUAAUUGCUACCAUCAUCUUUCAACUUUGCUUUCUCAAGGAACGCAUUAAAAUUCAACGGAACAACAACACGGGCCAUCUAUCUACAAUCAAACAUAAACAAGCAAGAUACUAUCAGGUACUAAGUUCAUGAUAAAUUUAGGUUCAAUUUGUUGGAAAUAUGCCCUAGAGGCAAUAAUAAAAGCAUUAUUAUUAUAUUUCCUUGUUCAUGAUAAUUGUCUUUUAUUCAUGCUAUAAUUGUGUUAUCCGGAAAUCGUAAUACAUGUGUGAAUAAUAGACACCAACAUGUCCCUAGUAAGCCUCUAGUUGACUAGCUCAUUGAUCAAUAGAUAGUCAUGGUUUCCUGACUAUGGGCAUUGGAUGUCAUUGAUAACGAGAUCACAUCAUUAGGAGAAUGAUGUGAUGGACAAGACCCAAUCCUAAGCUUAGCUCAAAGAUCGUGUAGUUCAUUUGCUGUAGCUUUUCUGAAUGUCAAGUAUCUUUUCCUUAGACCAUGAGAUCGUGUAACUCCCGGAUACUGUCGGAGUGCUUUGGGUGUACCAAACGUCACAAUGUAACUGGGUGACUAUAAAGGUAUACUACGGGUAUCUCCGAAAGUGUCUGUUGGGUUGACAUGGAUCAAGACUGGGAUUUGUCACUUAGUAUGACGGAGAGGUAUCUCUGGGCCCACUCGGUAAUGCAUCAUCACAAUGAGCUCAAAGUGACCAAGUGUCUGGUCACGGGAUCAUGCAUUACGGUACGAGUAAAGUGACUUGCCGGUAACGAGAUCGAACGAGGUAUUGGGAUAACGACGAUCGAAUCUCGGGCAAGUAACGUACCGAUUGACAAAGGGAAUUGUAUACGGGGUUGCUUGAAUCCUCGACAUCGUGGUUCAUCCGAUGAGAUCAUCGAGGAGCAUGUGGGAGCCAACAUGGGUAUCCAGAUCCCGCUGUUGGUUAUUGAUAUGAAUAUACAGUAACCCGAAAGUUGUUCAGUCCCAGAUGAGAUCCCGGACGUCACGAGGAGUUCCGGAAUGGUCCGGAGGUAAAGAAUUAUAUAUAGGAAGUGCUAUUUCGGCCAUCGGGACAAAUUUCAGGGUCACCGGUAUUGUACCGGGUCCACCGGAAGGGUCCCGGGGGUCCACCGGGUGGGGCCACCCAUCCCGGAGGGCCCCAUGGGCUGAAGUGGGAGGGGGAACCAGCCCUUAGUGGGAUGGUGCGCCUCCCUUGGCCCAACCCCUUGCGCCUAGGGUUGAAACCCUAGGGUGGGGGGGGGCGCCCACUUGCCUUGGAGGGCACUCCAACCCCCCUGACCGCCGCCCCCUUGGGAGAUGGAUCUCCAGGGCCGGCGCCCCCCUGGGGGCCUAUAUAAAGGGAGGGGAGGGAGGGGCAGCCGCACCCUUGAGUCUUGGCGCCCUCCCUCUCCCAUGCUACACCUCUCCUCCUCCGUAGAGCUCGGCGAAGCCCUGCCAGAGUGCUGCUUCUCCAUCAUCACCACGCCGUCGUGCUGCUGCUGAAGCGAUCUUCCUCAACCUCUCCUUCCCCUUGCUGGAUCAAUAAGGAGGAGACGUUACGCUGACCGUACGUGUGUUGAACGCGGAGGUGCCGUCCGUUCGGCGCUAGGAUCUUCGAGAUUUGGAUCACGUCGAGUACGACUACCUCAUCCCUGUUCUUUGAACGCUUCCGCUCACGAUCUACAAGGUACGUAGAUGCAUCCAACCACUUGUUGCUAGAUGAACUCAUAGAUGGAUCUUGGUGAAACCGUAGGAAUUUUUUUUGUUUUUUGCAACGUUCCCCAACAGUGGCAUCAUGAGCUAGGUCUAUGCGUAGUUCUCUAUGCACGAGUAGAACACAAUUUGUUGUGGGCGUUGAUGUUGUCAACUUUCUUGCCGCUACUAGUCUUAUCUUGCUUCAACGGUAUUAUGGGAUGAAGCGUCCCGGACCAACCUUACACGUACGCUUACGUGAGACCGGUUCCACCGACUAACAUGCACUAGUUGCAUAAGGUGGCUGGCGGGUGUCUGUCUCUCCCACUUUAGUUGGAGCGGAUUCGAUGAAAAGGGUCCUUAUGAAGGGUAAAUAGAAGUUGACAAAUCACGUUGUGGCUUUCACGUAGGUAAGAAAACGUUCUUGCUAGAACCCUAUUGCAGCCACGUAAAACUUGCAACAACAAUUAGAGGACGUCUAACUUGUUUUUGUAGCAAGUGUUUUGUGAUGUGAUAUGGCCAAAGUUGUGAUGAAUGAUGAAUGAUAUAUAUGUGAUGUAUGAGAUGGUCAUGCUAUUGUAAUAGGAAUCACGACUUGCAUGUCGAUGAGUAUGACAACCGGCAGGAGCCAUAGGAGUUGUCUUUAUUUUUUGUAUGACCUGCGUGUCAUUGAGAAACGCCAUGUAAAUUACUUUACUUUAUUGCUAAACGCGUUAGCCGUAGUAGUAGAAGUAAUAGUUGGCGAGCAACUUCAUGGAGGCACGAUGAUGGAGAUCAUGAUGAUGGAUAUCAUGGUGUCAUGCCGGUGAUAAGAUGAUCAUGGAGCCCCAAGAUGGAGAUCAAAGGAGCUAUGUGAUAUUGGCCAUAUCAUGUCACUUUUAUUAUUUGAUUGCAUGUGAUGUUUAUCAUGUUUUUGCAUCUUGUUUACUUAGAACGACGGUAGUAAAUAAGAUGAUCCCUCGUAAUAAUUUCAAGAAAGUGUUCCCCCUAACUAUGCACCGUUGCGACAGUUCGUUGUUUCGAAGCACCACGUGAUGAUCGGGUGUGAUAGAUUCUAACGUUCACAUACAACGGGUGUAAGACAGAUUUACACAUGCAAACACUUAGGUUGACUUGACGAGCCUAGCAUGUACAUACAUGGCCUCGGAACACAGAAGACUGAAAGGUCGAGCAUGAGUCGUAUAGAAGAUACGAUCAACAUGAAGAUGUUCACCGAUGUUGACUAGUCCAUCUCACGUGAUGAUCGGACACGGCCUAGUUAACUCGGAUCAUGUUAUACUUAGAUGACUGGAGGGAUGUCUAUCUAAGUGGGAGUUCAUUGAAUAAUUUGAUUAGAUGAACUUAAUUAUCAUGAACUUAGUCUAAAUAUUUACAAUAUGUCUUGUAGAUCAAAUGGCCAACGUAGUCCUCAACUUCAAUGCGUUCCUAGAGAAAACAAAGCUGAAAGACGAUGGCAGCAACUACACGGACUGGGUCCGGAACCUGAGGAUCAUCCUCAUAGCUGCCAAGAAAGAUUAUGUCCUACAAGCACCGCUGGGUGACGCACCUGUUCUCCCUGCAGAACAAGACGUAAUGAACGCUUGGCAGGCACGUACCGAUGACUACUCCCUCGUUCAGUGCGGCAUGCUUUACAGCUUAGAGCCGGAGCUCCAAAAACGUUUUGAGACACGGAGCAUAUGAGAUGUUCGAAGAGCUGAAAAUGGUUUUCCAAGCUCAUGCCCGGGUCGAGAGAUAUCAAGUCUCUGACAAGUUCUUCAGCUGUAAGAUGGAGGAAAACAGUUCUGUCAGUGAGCACAUACUCACUAUGUCUGGGUUGCAUAACCGCUUUACUCAGCUGGGAGUUAAUCUCCCGGAUGACGCGGUCAUUGACAGAAUCCUUCAAUCGCUUCCACCGAGCUACAAGAGCUUUGUGAUGAACUUCAAUAUGCAGGGGAUGGAAAAGACCAUUGCUGAAGUAUUUGCUAUGCUGAAAUCGGCAGAGGUAGAAGUCAAAAAGGAACAUCAAGUGUUGAUGGUGAAUAAAACCACUAAGUUCAAAAAGGGCAAGGGUAAGAAGAACUUCAAGAAGGACGGCAAGGGAGUUGCCGCGCCCGGCAAGCAAGCUGCCGGGAAGAAGCCAAAGAAUGGACCCAAGCCCGAGACUGAGUCUUUUUAUUGCAAGGAAAGUGGUCACUGGAAGCGGAACUGCCCCAAAUACUUAGCGGACAAGAAGGCCGCAUCACAAAAGGUAUAUGUGAUAUACAUGUAAUUGAUGUGUACCUUACCAGUACUCGUAGUAGCUCUUGGGUAUUUGAUACCGGUGCAGUUGCUCACAUUUGUAACUCAAAGCAGGAGCUUCGGAAUAAGCGGAGACUAACGAAGGACGAGGUGACGAUGCGCGUCGGGAAUGGUUCCAAGGUCGAUGUGAUCGCCGUCGGCACGCUACCUCUACAUUUACCUACGAGAUUAAUUUUAAACCUGAAUAAUUGUUAUUUAGUGCCAGCUUUGAGCAUGAACAUUGUAUCAGGAUCUCGUUUAAUUUGAGAUGGCUACUCAUUUAAAUCCGAGAAUAAUGGUUGUUCUAUUUAUGUGAGAGAUAUGUUUUAUAGUCAUGCUCCGAUGGUGAAUGGUUUAUUCUUAAUGAAUCUCGAGCGUAAUGCUACACAUAUUCAUAGUGUGAGUAGCAAAAGAUGUAAGGUUGAUAAUGAUAGUCCCACAUACUUGUGGCACUGCCGCCUUGGUCACAUAGGUGUCAAACGCAUGAAGAAGCUCCAUGCAAAUGGACUUUUAGAGUCUCUUGAUUACGAAUCAUUUGACACAUGCGAACCAUGCCUCAUGGGUAAGAUGACCAAGACUCCGUUCUCAGGAACAAUGGAGCGAGCAACCAACUUAUUGGAAAUCAUACAUACUGAUGUGUGCGGUCCAAUGAGUGUUGAGGCUCGCGGUGGCUAUCGUUAUGUUCUCACCCUCACUGAUGACUUGAGUAGAUAUGGGUAUAUCUAUUUGAUGAAACACAAGUCUGAGACCUUUGAAAAGUUCAAGGAAUUUCAGAGUGAGGUUGAAAAUCAACGUGAUAGGAAAAUCAAGUUCCUACGAUCAGAUCGUGGGGGAGAAUACUUGAGUCACGAAUUUGGCAUACACUUAAGAAAAUGUGGAAUAGUUUCACAACUCACGCCGCCUGGAACACCUCAGCGUAAUGGUGUGUCCGAACGUCGUAAUCGCACUCUAUUAGAUAUGGUGCGAUCUAUGAUGUCUCUUACCGAUUUACCGCUAUCUUUUUGGGGCUAUGCUUUAGAGACUACCGCAUUCACUUUAAAUAGGGCUCCGUCGAAAUCCAUUGAGACGACACCGUAUGAAUUAUGGUUUGGGAAGAAACCUAAGUUGUCGUUUCUAAAAGUUUGGGGAUGCGAUGCUUAUGUCAAGAAACUUCAACCUGAAAAGCUCGAACCCAAGUCGGAAAAAUGCGUCUUCAUAGGAUACCCUAAAGAAACUAUUGGGUAUACCUUCUACCUCGGAUCCGAAGGCAAGAUCUUUGUUGCCAAGAAUGGAUCCUUUCUAGAGAAAGAGUUUCUCUCGAAAGAAGUAAGUGGGAGGAAAGUAGAACUUGAUGAAGUACUACCUCUUGAACCGGAAAAAGGCGCAACUCAAGAAAAUGUUCCUGAGGUGCCUGCACCGACUAGAGAGGAAGU